ensembl:lncRNA
ACAAAUGAAAUGAGACAUAGCUGUAAAUUAAUCAGCACUCAUUUAUGUAACCAGAAAGUGUGUUGACAACCCACUAUGAACAUGACUGACCUGUUUUUCUGAGGAAAUCCCCGUGUAGUGAGUGGGCGAAGGGGAAGUGGAUGCUUGUGUGUGUAUAUAUAAUGAUCCCAAACGCCAGUCAGCAGCAGGAGUCUCACUGGAGGAGUCAGUAUGAAGCUGUUGUCUGUCGUCAAAGGUAACUGCAUUUUGUUUCCAGCUCAGUUGUUUUCUCUCAGUCUUGGUGUUUGGUUGUGAACAUGUUGUGUCUCUACAACAGCUUUGGGGUCUGUGUGUCUGCUGUUUGCAGAUGGAGCUCCAGGUACGGUACAGAUAUGUUGAAGACUUUAAAGCGUAACUUCUUGUGAUGAGAUUUUUGUGCUAACCUCAGUUUGUUCUUCAGUUUCUGAGGAUGAAUCUCCAGAGAUCAUCGGGCCGAAUCGUGUCCAAAUCAAAGCUCAUCCAGGUGAGCCGCUCCUCCUUCACUGCGGUGCAUUUACAAACUGUGAGGAUGAUGUGAGCGUUAUCUACUGGCUCGUCAAUGACUCUUUCCCUGAAGAAACGGUCAACAGCGACAGAAUAGUGGAAUCAAGCGAAUCAACUUUCGAGGAGGGUACAGUCCUACAGAGGAGUUUGCUCUUGAAGACCGUCACCUCAGAGGAUCUCACAUCCAACUUCACAUGCGUUGUGACAAAUGCCAUGGGAAUGGCCCAGAAGUGCAUAACAUUAACAGCAAAGACUGAUGGCUUUAGCAGUAACUGACAGAAAACACACAGAAUAGCACUGCUGUAAAAAGUGGAUUUCUGUGUGCAGGGUUAUAUCUUGCAGAAAAUUGCCAAGAGUUAACGUAUGUGAAAUUGCUGCUUUUGUGUUGUACUGAAAUCCGGGCUGCAUUUGAUUAUGGCAAAUCCUUACCCUUUGAUAUGUAGGCCAGUAAACGUAAAAAUGACUCCUAAAUCUCAAGGAAGGAAUAAUACAAGGAAACCAGUCAACAGGUGGACACUAGGUCCCUUAAUGCUGCUUUUGAGGAUCCCCUCCUGAUCCAAGGAAACAAAACAUCCAGAGGCAACACUUUAUGUGGAACUGAACACACCCAUUAUACCUGCAGUAAACUGCCUACAUUACUAUGACUCUACAAGGCACUUUCUACCAAUUCCAGACUGAUACAGAAUAUUGCACCAGUAAUUCGCUGAAAUUAUUUUGUGUGUAUCAUUGUACUGUUCGCUGACAGAAAUCUCAACUUUGUAUGCUUUUAAACCAUAAUGAGAAUUUACAUUAUCAUCAAUUAAAUCUUUCAUAAACUCAUGUAUACGCUGCUGAUAAAUCAUUGUGGCUGUUUCACUUGAGAUUUACCAUUAAUCCUACAUUGUAGUUGGUGUUUAUUUCAAGCAGGUAUAGAAUCAGUAUCACUGAACACUUUCAUAGGUGCAGUCGAUACAGGUGUCCACUGUAAUGUGUCAUUUCUGAGGGUGGUCUAUUUAAUAUGUUUUUG